CUGAGCACUGGUGGUAGUAACAGAGAGUUCGAUCCUGGCUCAGAUUGAACGCUGGCGGGAUGCUUUACACAUGCAAGUCGAAACGGCAGCACGGACUUCGGCCUGGUGGCGAGUGGCGAACGGGCAGAGUAAUGUAUCGGAACGUGUCAGUAGUGAUAACUACGCGAAAGCGUAGCUAAUACCGCAUACGUCUUCGGGGGAAAGCGGGGGGACCUUCGGGCCUCGCACUAUUAGAGCGGCCGAUAUCGGAUUAGCUAGUUGGUGGGGUAACGGCUCACCAAGGCGACGAUCCGUAGCUGGUUUGAGAGGACGACCAGCCACACUGGGACUGAGACACGGCCCAGACUCCUACGGAGGCAGCAGCGGGAAUUUUGGACAAUGGGGGAAACCCUGAUCCAGCCAUCCCGCGUGUGCGAUGAAGGCCUUCGGGUUGUAAAGCACUUUGGCAGGAAGAAACGGCACGGGAUAAUACCCCGUGCAACUGACGGUACCUGCAGAAUAAGCACCGGCUAACUACGUGCCAACAGCCGCGGUAAUACGUAGGGUGCAAGCGUUAAUCGGAAUUGACAUUGGGCGUAAAGCGUGCAGGCGGUUCGGAAAGAAGGAUGAACCUAGAGCUUAACUUUGGAACUGCAUUUUUAACUACCGAGCUAGAGUGUGUCAGAGAGGGAAUUCCGCGUGUAGCAGUGUGAAAUGCGUAGAUAUGCGGAGGAACACCGGAUGGCGAAGGCAGCCUCCUGGGAUAACACUGACGCUCAUGCACGAAAGCGUGGGGAGCAAACAGGAUUAGAUACCCUGGUACUCCACGCCCUAAACGAUGUCAACUAGCUGUUGGGGCCUUCGGCCUUGGUAGCGCAGCUAACGCGUGAAGUUGACCGCCUGGGGAGUACGGUCGCAAGAUUAAAACUCAAAGGAAUUGACGGGGACUCCGCACAAGCGGUGGAUGAUGUGGAUUAAUUCGAUGCAACGCGAAAAACCUUACCUACCCUUGACAUAGCGUCUGGAAUCCUGAAGAGAUUUGGGAGUGCUCGCAAGAGAACCGGAACACAGGUGCUGCAUGGCUGUCGUCAGCUCGUGUCGUGGAGAUGUUGGGUUAAGUCCCGCAACGAGCGGCAACCUUUGUCAUUAGUUGCUACGAAAGGGCACUCUAUCGAGACUGCCGGUGACAAACCGGAGGAAGGUGGGGAUGACGUCAAGUCCUCAUGGCCCUUAUGGGUAGGGCUUCACACGUCAUACAAUGGUCGGGACAGAGGGUCGCCAACCCGCGAGGGGGAACCAAUCCCAGAACCCGAUCGUAGUCCGGAUCGCAGUCUGCAACUCGACUGCGUGAAGUCGGAAUCGCUAGUAAUCGCGGAUCAGCAUGUCGCGGUGAAUACGUUCCCGGGUCUUGUACACACCGCCCGUCACACCAUGGGAGUGGGUUUUACCAGAAGUAGUUAGCCUAACCGUAAGGAGGGCGAUUACCACGGUAGGAUCUGAUGACUGGGGUGAAGUCGUAACAAGGUAA
rnacentral:rRNA from 1 species